GCGGGAGUGGUGGAACUGGUAGACACACGGGACUCAAAAUCCCGCGCCCGCAAGGGCUUAGGGGUUCGACUCCCCUCUCCCGCACCA
rnacentral:tRNA from 1 species